UACGGUCGGCCUUGGCACACUAAGACUGUAGAUUUUAGGAGGGAUGGCGGUCUGGCUGUGGCUGGGUUAGGACAGAGCGAUAGAAACGGAAAACGACAAUUUUCCAUCACUGCGAAAGUGGAACGAUGGAACUCGCAGGGUGCGGGCUUCUUUAAUGCCAUGAAGUGAAUCAUAACGUUCGUUUAGGCCCAACCCGAAAAUUGAUCCGCCGGCCUCAUAUGCGAUGCUGCUACCGCAGACUGCGUUCAUACACCUCAGGCAAGAAUGUCUGUGUGGGGAUGAUUGUGAGAGACUCCGCAGGAAUUUGGCAGGCCCCGUCAGUUGGAGAGGCGCCCCGUGCUGCCUCCCAUUCAGUGGUCCGGCGCGCUGUGAGGUUGGGAAGUUUCAGUGAGCCGUGGCCUCAAUAGCGCCACAAAGCUGAUUACAAGCUCCAGCGGAUUCUUGAAGGAAGCGGGCAGUCGCACAGGUGUG